AAGCACCGUUUCUCAUCCUCCCAGCCUGAGAAUGAUGAUGCAUUUAUAUCAUCUCAAGAGACAUUGGAGGAUGAUAUUCUGGUGGAACAUGGUUCUCAGUUGCCAGAAGAGCUCCAUGGCCUCAAUGUUGAACUACAAGAAGCAGAACUCACAGGGCCAAUAAAGAAAUCAGAAAACAGAAUCAACAAGAUACUGGAUGAAUUACUGUCUGGUAGUGGUGAAGAUCUAGACCGGGACAUGGCAGUAUCCAAAUUGCAAGAGCAGUUGAAGAUCAAGCCCAUUGAACUAGGAACUUUAUGUAUUCCUGAGUUCCCUGUGACUGGAAAGUUUGAUGGUAAGGCUCUUGGAGAGAGAAUUCAGAAGCCUAGUAAGUUUUUUUUGGAGAUAGCGGAGUUGGUUAAAAGUGCAACUGAGGGAACGCCAUCCUCUCACAAACAGCAUGAAGAAAGUCCUGCCAGUAAAUUAGCAUCACCCACUCCACCAAAAAGUCCA
rnacentral:misc_RNA from 1 species